CCUACGGGAGGCAGCAGUGAGGAAUAUUGGUCAAUGGACGAGAGUCUGAACCAGCCAAGUAGCGUGAAGGAUGACUGCCCUAUGGGUUGUAAACUUCUUUUAUAAAGGAAUAAAACGAGGCACGUGUGCCUUUUUGCAUGUACUUUAUGAAUAAGGAUCGGCUAACUCCGUGCCAGCAACCGCGGUAAUACGGAGGCUCCGAGCGUUAUCCGGAUUUAUUGGGUUUAAAGGGAGCGUAGGUGGGUUGUUAAGUCAGUUGUGAAAGUGUGCGGCUCAACCGUAAAAUUGCAAUUGAUACUGGCAGGCUUGAGUACAGUUGAGGUAGGCGGAAUUCGUGGUGUAGCGGUGAAAUGCUUAGAUAUCACGAAGAACCCCGAUUGCGAAGGCAGCUUACUAAACUGUGACUGACAUUGAGGCUCGAAAGUGUGGGUAGCAAACAGGAUUAGAUACCCCAGUAGUC
rnacentral:rRNA from 1 species